rnacentral:rRNA from 1 species
UACAGAGGGUGCAAGCGUUGUUCGGAAUUAUUGGGCGUAAAGGGCGCGUAGGCGGUGCGGUAAGUCUUUUGUGAAAUCUCCGAGCUUAACUCGGAACGGUCAACUGAUACUGCUCGGCUAGAGUGCGGAAGGGGCAACUGGAAUUCUUGGUGUAGCGGUGAAAUGCGUAGAUAUCAAGAGGAACACCUGCGGCGAAGGCGGGUUGCUGGGCCGACACUGACGCUGAGGCGCGAAAGCUAGGGGAGCGAACGGG